AUGAAAUAAAACCGUUUGUCAACAGACAAACGGUCUCUAUUAGUGAACGAUUAAGUUCGGUGUUUCGGUGAAGUGCGGUGGAUUAAGGCACUACGGUAUCGCGGGAAAUCAGUGGUGUGACACCAAAUUCCGUCCGGUCCAUUUGGCGAAACCAGGAUCCGUCAAGUGCCGUGAAGUCCAAGCCUUCGGUGCGCUGUUACAUCACUCCGGACCAUGAGUAGGCGAGUGUGAACGUUCGAGAAGGAGCCCCGUUGUUUCAGUGGGUUUAUUGGCCGACAAGGGGAAUUCGACGACCUACCAACUGAAGACUGGCCCCGUUCGGAUCGCAUACCCAAUCUACGGCGGAUAGCGGAGACUCCUGCCACGCCAAUCGAAAGGGAAGAAGCCAGCCAAGACAUAAAGUGGUAAAGUACAAAUUCCAAUCUUUCCUCCUUUCCACUUCCUUUGUACAAUAUGUUCGUUAAAAUAGGAAAUUAAAUAUGGUAACUAAGUGAA